rnacentral:rRNA from 1 species
CACGUAGGGGGCGAGCGUUGUCCGGAUUUAUUGGGCGUAAAGAGCUCGUAGGCGGCUCGGUAAGUCAGGUGUGAAACCUCCAGGCUCAACCUGGAGACGCCACCUGAUACUGCCGUGGCUAGAGUCCGGUAGAGGAGCGUAGAAUUCCUGGUGUAGCGGUGAAAUGCGCAGAUAUCAGGAGGAAUACCAGCGGCGAAGGCGGCGCUCUGGGCCGGUACUGACGCUGAGGAGCGAAAGCGUGGGGAGCGAACAGG